AGUACAGAACGAAUCCCGUGAUGACAACUCUGAAUUUGACAUUCUUGUCGGCAAUCGUCCAGUGUCCAGUAAAAUUACUGAAAUUACAUGUGGUUUGUGGUGUGGUAAGAUCCUGAUGCCGGCUGAUUUCUAGAAAGUGGUAACAAAAAACCUAAAGCUUCUAAAUUGCCAAAUAAGAAGAAAUAAUUAUUCCACGAUGCAUCAAGAAACUCUUCAACUCAUUCAGAUUCUGGAAAAAACAGUUUCUCCCGAUAAAACUGAGCUAGAACAAGCUUCAUCUUUUCUGGAACAAGCCGCGGCUACCAACUUGUUAGAGUUCAUAAAAACUUUAUCUGAUAUCUUGAGACAUGGAGGUAAUAGCCCUGUGGCUCGCAUGGCAGCUGGUUUGCAACUCAAAAA